AGGUGCAAAAUAGGCACUCAUCUGGAAGGAGGGAAGAAAAGAAAAAGAAAAAACUUAUAAUAACCAUCAAUCUUAGAACAAAUUGUAUGAACAACAUUUAAUCAGAAUUUUAGAAUUUUUUAAAUUGAAUUUGGCAAGUGCAAAAGUAACAUAAAUCAGAAUAUUAUGAUUUAUCAAAUUUAACUUGGCAGGGAUACAUGAUUCAGUCACCUUUUUGCCACCUUAAAAAAAUUCAGCAAUUGCAUUUUAUUUCUCAAAAAUUUUACAGAUUGUCACCCCGGUAAGACUCAUAUACACACAGAACACAAAGCCGAAAGUAUUGUAAACAGGUAAAACCACCUUCAUUGGCAAUCUCUUUCCUUCAGUUUACAAUUCU
rnacentral:misc_RNA from 1 species